UACGAAGGGGGCUAGCGUUGCUCGGAAUUACUGGGCGUAAAGGGCGCGUAGGCGGAUACUUAAGUCGGGGGUGAAAGCCCAGGGCUCAACCCUGGAACAGCCUUCGAUACUGGGUAUCUUGAGUACGGGAGAGGUGUGUGGAACUCCGAGUGUAGAGGUGAAAUUCGUAGAUAUUCGCAAGAGCACCAGUGGCGAAGGCGGCUCACUGGCCCGAUACUGACGCUGAGGCACGGAAAGCGUGGGAGCAAAC
rnacentral:rRNA from 1 species